rnacentral:rRNA from 1 species
AGAGUUUGAUCCUGGCUCAGAUUGAACGCUGGCGGCAUGCCUUACACAUGCAAGUCGAACGGCAGCGCGGGAGCAAUCCUGGCGGCGAGUGGCGAACGGGUGAGUAAUACAUCGGAACGUGUCCUGUAGUGGGGGAUAGCCCGGCGAAAGCCGGAUUAAUACCGCAUACGAUCUACGGAUGAAAGCGGGGGAUCGCAAGACCUCGCGCUAUAGGGGCGGCCGAUGGCGGAUUAGCUAGUUGGUGGGGUAAAGGCCUACCAAGGCGACGAUCCGUAGCUGGUCUGAGAGGACGACCAGCCACACUGGGACUGAGACACGGCCCAGACUCCUACGGGAGGCAGCAGUGGGGAAUUUUGCGCAAUGGGGGAAACCCUGACGCAGCAACGCCGCGUGGAGGAUGAAGUCCUUUGGGACGUAAACUCCUUUCGACCGGGACGAUAAUGACGGUACCGGUGGAAGAAGCCCCGGCUAACUUCGUGCCAGCAGCCGCGGUAAUACGAGGGGGGCAAGCGUUGUUCGGAAUUAUUGGGCGUAAAGGGCGCGUAGGCGGUGCGGUAAGUCACCUGUGAAACCUCUGGGCUUAACUC